CGGGGGUACACGAGCGGCGAACGGCUGAGUAACACGUGAGCAACCUACCCUCAACUUCGGGAUAAGCCUCGGAAACGGGGUCUAAUACCGGAUAUCACUCCUUGUCUCAUGGCUUGGGGUUGAAAGUUCUGGCGGUUGGGGAUGGGCUCGCGGCCUAUCAGCUUGUUGGUGGGGUAAUGGCCUACCAAGGCGUCGACGGGUAGCCGGCCUGAGAGGGCGACCGGCCACACUGGGACUGAGACACGGCCCAGACUCCUACGGGAGGCAGCAGUGGGGAAUAUUGCGCAAUGGACGAAAGUCUGACGCAGCAACGCCGCGUGAGGGAUGACGGCCUUCGGGUUGUAAACCUCUUUCAGCAGGGACGAAGCGAGAGUGACGGUACCUGCAGAAGAAGGACCGGCCAACUACGUGCCAGCAGCCGCGGUAAUACGUAGGGUCCGAGCGUUGUCCGGAAUUAUUGGGCGUAAAGGGCUCGUAGGCGGUUCGUCACGUCGGGAGUGAAAACUCGGAGCUCAACUCCGAGCCUGCUUCCGAUACGGGCAGACUAGAGGUAGGCAGGGGAGAGCGGAACUCCUGGUGUAGCGGUGGAAUGCGCAGAUAUCAGGAAGAACACCGGUGGCGAAGGCGGCUCUCUGGGCCUUACCUGACGCUGAGGAGCGAAAGCGUGGGUAGCGAACAGGAUUAGAUACCCUGGUAGUCCACGCCGUAAACGUUGGGCGCUAGGUGUGGGGGACAUUCCACGUCCUCCGUGCCGCAGCUAACGCAUUAAGCGCCCCGCCUGGGGAGUACGGCCGCAAGGCUAAAACUCAAAGGAAUUGACGGGGGCCCGCACAAGCGGCGGAGCAUGCGGAUUAAUUCGAUGCAACGCGAAGAACCUUACCUGGGUUUGACAUAUAGGGAAAUCCUCCAGAGAUGGGGGGUCCGUAAGGGUCCUAUACAGGUGGUGCAUGGCUGUCGUCAGCUCGUGUCGUGAGAUGUUGGGUUAAGUCCCGCAACGAGCGCAACCCUCGUCCUAUGUUGCCAGCACGUUAUGGUGGGGACUCAUAGGAGACUGCCGGGGUCAACUCGGAGGAAGGUGGGGAUGACGUCAAGUCAUCAUGCCCCUUAUGUCCAGGGCUUCACGCAUGCUACAAUGGCCGGUACAAAGGGUUGCGAUACCGCAAGGUGGAGCGAAUCCCAAAAAGCCGGUCUCAGUUCGGAUUGGGGUCUGCAACUCGACCCCAUGAAGUCGGAGUCGCUAGUAAUCGCAGAUCAGCAACGCUGCGGUGAAUACGUUCCCGGGCCUUGUACACACCGCCCGUCACGUC
rnacentral:rRNA from 1 species